AGAGUUUGAUCAUGGCUCAGGAUGAACGCUAGCGGCAGGCCUAACACAUGCAAGUCGAGGGGCAGCACGGGUAGCAAUACCUGGUGGCGACCGGCGCACGGGUGCGUAACGCGCAUGGAACCUACCCUCCGCAGGGGGAUAGCCCGCCGAAAGGCGGAUUAAUACCCCAUAGUUCCCCCGGACCACCUGGUCUGGGGGGUAAAGCUACGGCGGCGGAGGAUGGCCAUGCGUGCCAUUAGCUAGUCGGCGGGGUAACGGCCCACCGAGGCGAUGAUGGCUAGGGGGUCUGAGAGGAUGGUCCCCCACACUGGUACUGAGACACGGACCAGACUCCUACGGGAGGCAGCAGUGAGGAAUAUUGGUCAAUGGGCGCAAGCCUGAACCAGCCAUGCCGCGUGCAGGAAGACGGCCCUAUGGGUUGUAAACUGCUUUUGCACGGGAAGAAUGGCCCCCUCGUGAGGGGGUUUGACGGUACCGUACGAAUAAGGAUCGGCUAGCUCCGUGCCAGCAGCCGCGGUAAUACGGAGGAUCCAAGCGUUAUCCGGAUUUACUGGGUUUAAAGGGUGCGUAGGCGGGCGCUUAAGUCAGCGGUGAAAGGCAGCGGCUCAACCGUUGAAUUGCCGUUGAAACUGGGCGCCUUGGAUUCGGUCGAGGCCGGCGGAAUGCGUGGUGUAGCGGUGAAAUGCUUAGAUAUCACGCGGAACGCCGAUUGCGAAGGCAGCUGGCCAGACCGAGAUCGACGCUGAGGCACGAAAGCGUGGGGAUCAAACAGGAUUAGAUACCCUGGUAGUCCACGCCGUAAACGAUGAUCACUGGAUGCCGGCGAUACACCGUCGGUGUCUGAGCGAAAGCAUUAAGUGAUCCACCUGGGGAGUACGAUCGCAAGGUUGAAACUCAAAGGAAUUGACGGGGGCCCGCACAAGCGGAGGACAUGUGGUUUAAUUCGAUGAUACGCGAGGACCUUACCUGGGCUAGACGCCGAGCGCAUAUGGGGAACCCCAUAGCCAGCAUGCGU
rnacentral:rRNA from 1 species